UGGGGGAUAUUGCACAAUGGGCGAAAGCCUGAUGCAGCGACGCCGCGUGGGGGAUGAAGGCCUUCGGGUUGUAAACUUCUUUUGCUCUGAACAAGGCAUGCUAAUGGGUGUGUUGAGUGUAGGGGUUGAUUAGCGCCGGCUAACUACGUGCCAGCAGCCGCGGUAAUACGUAGGGCGCGAGCGUUGUCCGGAAUUAUUGGGCGUAAAGGGCUUGUAGGUGGCUGGUUGCGUCUGUCGUGAAAGCUCAUGGCUUAACUGUGGGUUUGAGGUGGGUACGGGCUGGCUUGAGUGCAGUAGGGGAGGCUGGAAUUCCUGGUGUAGCGGUGGAAUGCGCAGAUAUCAGGAGGAAUACCGGUGGCGAAGGCGGGUCUCUGGGCUGUUACUGACACUGAGGAGCGAAAGCAUGGGGAGCGAACAGG
rnacentral:rRNA from 1 species